rnacentral:rRNA from 1 species
GUGGGGAAUUUUGGACAAUGGGCGCAAGCCUGAUCCAGCAAUGCCGCGUGCAGGAAGAAGGCCUUCGGGUUGUAAACUGCUUUUGUACGGAACGAAACGGUCCGGGUUAAUACCCUGGGCUAAUGACGGUACCGUAAGAAUAAGCACCGGCUAACUACGUGCCAGCAGCCGCGGUAAUACGUAGGGUGCAAGCGUUAAUCGGAAUUACUGGGCGUAAAGCGUGCACAGGCGGUUUUGUAAGACAGGCGUGAAAUCCCCGGGCUCAACCUGGGAAUUGCGCUUGUGACUGCAAGGCUGGAGUGCGGCAGAGGGGGAUGGAAUUCCGCGUGUAGCAGUGAAAUGCGUAGAUAUGCGGAGGAACACCGAUGGCGAAGGCAAUCCCCUGGGCCUGCACUGACGCUCAUGCACGAAAGCGUGGGGAGCAAACAGGAUUAGAAACCCGGGUAGUCC